ACAUGGAUCACUGUUUGAAGUGUCCAGAGGAUCAGUAUACCAACAGAUAUCAAACACAUUUCCUCAAAAAAUGUUGUGCCCUUUCUAGCUUAAGAAGACCCCUUGGUCAUGGCACUUACUGACUUGACUAUGUGCUUCUCUGCUCUUACAGCAAGUGUAUGCUGUGUCUUCUUGAAACACAGGGAAACUCCUAUAGUCCAGGCCAAUAAUGAAACGCUCA
rnacentral:lncRNA from 1 species